rnacentral:lncRNA from 1 species
GAGAUAGUGUGAUCCCUGUUUCGCAUUAUCAAGGUUCUAACUACUUUUAGUAAAACCGUAUCUAUAGGUCGUUAAUGAACAUUGGAGUUGUAAGUUGCUUUUCUCUUUGGACCAAGUAAGUACCAUGCUGAUGGCUUGAUCAUAAUCCGAAGCCUGAACCCUAAAAAUGAUACAUUGCAUACAAAAUUGCUAAACAUUAAGAGUUUAUUUGUACAGGGUAUAGGUUAUGAGGCUAUGAAUUAUAUAUUGUAAAUAGUUGGGCUAUUUGAUCUACAGUCCCUCCAUACCAAAAAAUAGCUACAUUUAGCUGUUUCAAAAGUCAAAUCUUUUUAACAUUGUCCAACAAUACCUCUAAAAAUAAUUUAUUUCAAAUAAAAAAGUUACAUAUUAUAAUAGUUGGUUUCAUGAUAAAUCUACUAACAUUAUGUUUAUGCUAUUAGUCUCUAUGAUUAUUUCUCUAUUCGCAGUCAAAGUUGAAAAAUGUUUGACUUUGAAAAAAUCUAAAUGUAGCUAUAUUCUGGGAUGGAGGGAGUAGGCUAUAAGACAAUUGGAGGGUUGGUUGUAUGAAUCUGAUAAGAUGACAUGCAAAUAGUUCAAUUUGGUAGCGUGUGGAUUCGAUGAAAAACAUUUGAAUAUUUAGGGUUGAUUAAAAUCUUCUUGAGAUUCAAAUGAAAACAACAUGAUUACUACUUAGGAAUACUGCAAUUUGGCAGUAGCAACACACGGGCAUGCAGUCAACACACUAAAUGGGGACAAUUUUUAUUGGAGUUGACAAGGAGGAUGAAAAUUUGGUAUAAGAAAAAUUUAGGUGCAUAUAGGCAUAUAGCUUGUCCUUAAUGUAUUUAGAAUCUAAACACUACUCCCUUCAUCCCAAAUUACUAUUCAUUUUAGUUUUUAUGUCUAAAUAUAUAGCAAAAGUUAUGUAUUUACUAGUAAAAUGCAUGUGCGGCACGCACAUGUUUAAAAAAAACAUGAUUUACAUUUUACUUUUUCAUAAAACAGACUACUGAUAUAUUUAUUUAAUCAGCAUAAAUAGCAAAGCCAUAGAAAUUAUCUAAACAUAUUAUUAAAUAAAGGUUUAAACUACUUAAAUUGCCUAUUCAGCAGGAUGAAAGUACCAUGAUCGCUUUUUGAAAACAAAGUGUAGACAAAAAACAUGUGAAUGCUUCUUACUUUUCUCUUUACUCCUCUCCACCUCCUUCCCUGCUUCUACCUUUUAACCCUG